CCGCACCUACGGGGCGCAGCAGUGGGGGAUAUUGCACAAUGGGGGAAACCCUGAUGCAGCGACGCCGCGUGUGGGAAGACGGUCCUCUGGAUUGUAAACCACUGUCCCCAGGGACGAAGAUGACGGUACCUGGGGAGGAAGCUCCGGCUAACUACGUGCCAGCAGCCGCGGCAGUACGUAGGGAGCAAGCGUUGUCCGGAAUUACUGGGUGUAAAGGGAGCGUAGGCGGGAUGGCAAGGUGGGUGUUAAAUCUACCGG
rnacentral:rRNA from 1 species